AGAGUUUGAUCCUGGCUCAGGAUGAACGCUGGCGGUCUGCUUAACACAUGCAAGUCGAACGGGGUGCUUCGGCACCUAGUGGCGGACUGGUGAGUAACGCGUGAGAAUCUGCCCUUAGGACGGGGACAACAGCUGGAAACGGCUGCUAAUACCCGAUGUGCCGAGAGGUGAAACAUUUAUGGCCUGAGGAUGAGCUCGCGUCUGAUUAGCUAGUUGGUGGGGUAAGAGCCUACCAAGGCGACGAUCAGUAGCUGGUCUGAGAGGAUGAUCAGCCACACUGGGACUGAGACACGGCCCAGACUCCUACGGGAGGCAGCAGUGGGGAAUUUUCCGCAAUGGGCGCAAGCCUGACGGAGCAAGACCGCGUGCGGGAGGACGGCCUAUUGGUUGUAAACCGCUUUUGAUAGGGAAGAAGCUCUGACGGUACCUAUCGAAUCAGCAUCGGCUAACUCCGUGCCAGCAGCCGCGGUAAUACGGAGGAUGCAAGCGUUAUCCGGAAUUAUUGGGCGUAAAGCGUCCGUAGGUGGUUGUUCAAGUCUGCUGUUAAAGCGUGCGGCUUAACCGCAUACCAGCAGUGGAAACUGGACGACUAGAGUGCGGUAGGGGUCAGGGGAAUUCCCAGUGUAGCGGUGAAAUGCGUAGAUAUUGGGAAGAACACCGGUGGCGAAAGCGCCUGACUGGACCUGCACUGACACUGA
rnacentral:rRNA from 1 species